rnacentral:rRNA from 1 species
UACGAGUGCCUCAAGCGUUAUCCGGAAUUAUUGGGCGUAAAGGGUGUGUAGGUGGUUUUGUUAGUCUUCUGUUAAAUCUCUUGGCUUAACCAAGAGCUUGCAGGGGAAACGGCAAGACUCAGAGUGUGCGAGGGGUUUGCGGAACUCUACGUGUAGCAGUGAAAUGCGUUGAUAUGUAGGGGAACACCAAAAGCGAAGGCAGCAAACUGGAGCAUCACUGACACUGAAACACGAAAGCGUGGGUAGCGAAUGGG